rnacentral:rRNA from 1 species
UACAGAGGUCCCGAGCGUUGUUCGGAUUCACUGGGCGUAAAGGGUGCGUAGGUGGCGAGGUAAGUCGGAUGUGAAAGCUCGGAGCUCAACUCCGAAAUGGCGUUGGAAACUACCUUGCUCGAGGGUUGGAGGGGGGACUGGAAUACUUGGUGUAGCAGUGAAAUGCGUAGAUAUCAAGUGGAACACCAGUGGCGAAGGCGAGUCCCUGGACAACUCCUGACACUGAGGCACGAAAGCUAGGGGAGCAAACAGG